UACGUAGGGUGCGAGCGUUAAUCGGAAUUACUGGGCGUAAAGCGUGCGCAGGCGGCUUCGCAAGUCAGGCGUGAAAUCCCCGGGCUCAACCUGGGAACUGCAUUUGUGACUGCAUCGCUGGAGUGCGGCAGAGGGGGGAUGGAAUUCCGCGUGUAGCAGUGAAAUGCGUAGAGAUGUGGAGGAACACCAAUGGCGAAGGCAGCCUUCUGGGCCAACACUGACGCUCAUGCACGAAAGCGUGGGGAGCAAACAGG
rnacentral:rRNA from 1 species